UAUAGUGUCAACUUUAAAAAAAACGAGUUAAAUUCUAGACAGCAGAUGCAUCAGCAUGUCUGGGGAGAUGUGUAUAGUUUGAAAAAGAGUAAUUCAAUGUCAUCAUUUUAUAUUUGGAAAAUGGAAAGAAAAACUCUAUCAUUUUCAUCAUUCAAACUUUAAAAAGUGAAGCGACUCAAAAUCUUCUUGGCUGGCACCGAUACCCAGAGCAGCAACCGUUAUCUCACGGGUGGCCACACGGCAGGAUUGCAUGUACAUACGAGAUCUAUAAAUACAUCUAUAUUUUUAAUAUGCAUAGAUAUAUAUAAAUAUAUUAUGCAUAUUAGCCAGCCCUGGUGGUCUAGUGGUUAAGAUCUGGCUCUCUCACCACCUUGGCCUGGGUUCAUUUCCCAGUCAGGGAAUCACCCUCCGUGUCCUGGUUGUCACACUGUGGUGGCUGCAUGUUGCUGUGAUGCUGAAAGCUGUGUCACCAGGAUUUCAAAUACCUGCAGGGUCACCCAUGACGGACAGGUUUCAGCAAAGCUUCCAGACUAAGACAGACUAGGAAGAAGGACCUGGCCACCCACUUCCAGAAAAAGUGCCCAUGCAGUGGAACAGCGUCUGAUAGAGCCCGGAAGGUGAGAGGAUGGCGCAAAAGAACCGGGCAGGUUCCGCCCUGCUGUCCACAGGGUCGCCAGGAGUCGGAAUUGACUCAGCAGCACCAACAAGAAUAUCAUAUUACAUAUAAUAUUCACAAUAAAAACCCUGGCAAGUCCCAAGCGUACCGUGAACAGUGAUGGUCUCGGGAUGUCAGAUUGUGGGUGGUCUCUAUUCUUUGUACACACACUGGUAAACUUCCCUACGUGGGUACUAAAACUUGACAAAACUCUUUUAAAAUCCUAUCUAAAUUGGAACCAUCUUUUUGAAGGACAAUAUAUGCCACGAGCCUUAAAAACAAGCAUGCCUUUUGGCCCAGUAAUUUGACUUCUAGAAACGUACUCUAAAGAAAUGGACGUGCGCAGAAAUUUAUGUACAAAGAUGCCCGGACAGCGUUUCUUAUGCUGACGUGGCCUGGAAACGCAAUUAUCCAACAACAAGGGCAGGUUAAAUAAAUGAUGAGGGAUCCAGGAUGACCGGACGCCAGCGAGCUGUUAGAGUUCACGCUAGUGACCAUCAAAUGCCCUGCGAGGAAGUGCGGAUGGGUUAUUAAGGAGAAUCUCAAGAAAUGACAAAGAGCCAGUCUGAGGUGUUGCUGGGCGACUGUGAGCCCCUGAGCACAGACGCCACCCACAUCUGUGACGCACUGAUGUCUCCCCAGUGCCAAGAAACCCUCGAUAAACAUUUUUUUGCUGUGGAACUCCAUCCUACAUAAAAAUAAUGCUGACUCCCUCUCUCUAUUCUGUGUGUGCAAACACACACACACACUUCACACACACACAUUCAUUAUACACACCAGUCAUUCACUUCACAGAAACACCCCAGGAGCAGGUGCUCUUCCAAGACCUGGGGACACGGGCGCAGCAGGGAACAAAAGACCCAAAUCCCUGUGCCCUGGCAGCGCGCAUUCUAGGGAAAGAGACGGACGCUGAGGAAGAUAAAGAUGGAGUGGGGCCUUAUGAGAAUGAGGCCUCCCUCUGAGUGGGCCGGAAGCCACCUGAGGGCUCAGCACACAGGAGAAGCUUCUGGCUCCGUGCGGGGGGUGUUUAUUUUCUUCUUUAAGCUUUUCUGUAGUUUCUAACCCUUUGACAUUGACCAUUACUCACGAGUACAUAUAAUUCACAAUUUUUAAAAAUCCCAUCUGCCUUUCAGGUUCCAGUUCAAAUGACGCCUCUCCUGGGAGGCCUGCCUGGAUUCCCACCAGCCCCAACAGAGCCCCCUCUUCUGUGACUGCCCAAGGCCCAGCCUGCCUGGAAUCAGAAGGGGCAGUCUCCACCAGGGCCAGCCUGGACACCCAAUCCCGAGGGCAACGGCCUCCUGGGGACACACAGAGGCCCGGGAGCCCCUGGAUUCUGUGGGAACAAGGCUCUGCCUCCCCAGGGGGUCCCCCAGUUCUGUCCCUCCCUCCAGGACUGUGCAAACCAGGCCCCUUUUUCCUGUCACCUUUGCCUGUUCCUCCGAGUCCCUCACAUACCACGGAGGCUCCUGGAAGCCUCGAGCUAAGAAAUCCACUAGAUGGGGGAGCCCCAGGGGUUCCUUGGAGGGGCCCUCAUGGGAGACUGGGGGGCCUGGGUGGACGGGGCACACCAGCCGUCGCCUGUCUUGGGCUUCCUCCUUAGAAGGUGUGUACAGGGGUGGGGUGAAAGUUU
ensembl:lncRNA